GUGCAUUAAAUAAGUGCAAAUCAUGAUAUGGAAAAAUAUUAAGUUGUUCAUCUGACGUCAAAUCAAAUCGCAAACAAAUUGUGUUAGACAAUCCCACAUUUCCACGUUCAAGGGAUCAAAGGCAAGACGAGUCGAUAGCCCAUAUGCCAUAACUACACCAAAAAGAUCAUUUCCCACAAAACAGUCUUAGAUGAGCGAGUCCACUGCUGGACACAGGCCUGUCCCAAGCUACACCACAGAGCUUGCUCUGCGUCUUUAUGCAUCCAGUCGCUGCCGGCCCUCUUGUGUAAGUCGUCCCGCCAUCUGGCCAGAGGGCGUCCCACACUACGUUUGCCAAGACGCCGUCUCCACUCCAAAAAAAACGCAUAAAGCCCGGUAAUUAAAAUGGGUUCAUUCUUUUUAAGUUGGAAAACACCAGUGCAUACACAAAAUUGCUUGGCAACAAAAAUAGCUAAAGUGGUAGUAUCCACUCA